rnacentral:rRNA from 1 species
GUAAGUCUGUUUUCAAAUCCUACGACUCAAUCGUAGAAAGGGAGUGGAUACUGCAGAUCUAGAAGUAUCUAGGGGUUAGUGGAAUUUCCGGUGGAGCGGUGAAAUGCGUUGAUAUCGGAAGGAACGCCGAAAGCGAAAGCAGCUAACUAUAGAAUACUUGACGAUGAGGGACGACAGUUUGGGGAGCAAACAGGAUUAGAUACCCUGGUAGUCCAAACCGUAAAUUAUGCUUGCUAGAUGUUUUUAUCAGUUUACUGGUAGGAGUGUCGUAAUCUAACGAGUUAAGCAAGCCGCCUGGGUAGUAUAUUCGCAAGAAUGAAACUCAAAGGGAUAGGCGGGGGAACACACAAGCAGUGGAUUAUCUAGAUUAAUUGGAUAAUAAGCCAAGAAUCUUACCUAGGAUUGACAUGUAUUGUGUCUGCGGUGAAAGUCGCAUAUCCGUAGCAAUACGGAGCUUUACACAGGUGGUGCAUGGUCGUCGUCAGCUCGUGCCGCAAGGUGUCUAGUUAAGUCUGGAAACGAGCGCAACCCUCGUGUUUAGUUAGUAUGUCUAAACAGACUGCUCGGGUAACCGAGAGGAAGGAGAGGAUGACGUCAGAUCCUCAUGCCCCUUACACCUAGGGCCUCAUAGAUAAUACAAUGGGUAGGUACAGCGAGAAGCGAGACCGCGAGGUGGAGCAAAUCUUUAAAACUGCCCUUAGUUCGGAUUGUACUCUGGAACUCGAGUACAUGAAGUUGGAAUUGCUAGUAAUGGCAGAUCAGCCAUGCUGCCGUGAAUACGUCCCUGUUCCUUGCACUCACCGCCCGUCAAACCAUGGGAGCUGAGGCUCUUUGAAGACUCAUUAUAUGGGUUAAGGAGGGAAUCAGUGACUGGGGUUAAGUCGUAACAAGGCAUCCCUACCGGAAGGUGGGGAUA